rnacentral:hammerhead_ribozyme from 1 species
CACUAGCUGAUGAGUCCCGAAUAGGACGAAAUGAGCGUUAUCCUAGUG